rnacentral:rRNA from 1 species
ACAGUUUAUACCGUAGCUUGCUACACCAUAGACUGUGAGUUGCGAACGGGUGAGUAACGCGUAGGUAACCUGCCUAUUAGAGGGGGAUAACUAUUGGAAACGAUAGCUAAUACCGCAUAACAGUAUGUAACACAUGUUAGAUGCUUGAAAGAUGCAAUUGCAUCGCUAGUAGAUGGACCUGCGUUGUAUUAGCUAGUAGGUAGGGUAAAGGCCUACCUAGGCAACGAUACAUAGCCGACCUGAGAGGGUGAUCGGCCACACUGGGACUGAGACACGGCCCAGACUCCUACGGGAGGCAGCAGUAGGGAAUCUUCGGCAAUGGGGGGAACCCUGACCGAGCAACGCCGCGUGAGUGAAGAAGGUUUUCGGAUCGUAAAGCUCUGUUGUUAAGGAAGAACGAGUGUGAGAAUGGAAAGUUCAUACUGUGACGGUACUUAACCAGAAAGGGACGGCUAACUACGUGCCAGCAGCCGCGGUAAUACGUAGGUCCCGAGCGUUGUCCGGAUUUAUUGGGCGUAAAGCGAGCGCAGGCGGUUAGAAAAGUCUGAAGUGAAAGGCAGUGGCUCAACCAUUGUAGGCUUUGGAAACUGUUUAACUUGAGUGCAGAAGGGGAGAGUGGAAUUCCAUGUGUAGCGGUGAAAUGCGUAGAUAUAUGGAGGAACACCGGUGGCGAAAGCGGCUCUCUGGUCUGUAACUGACGCUGAGGCUCGAAAGCGUGGGGAGCGAACAGGAUUAGAUACCCUGGUAGUCCACGCCGUAGACGAUGAGUGCUAGGUGUUAGGUCCUUUCCGGGACUUAGUGCCGUAGC